rnacentral:rRNA from 1 species
UUAAGCGACUAAGCGUACACGGUGGAUGCCCUGGCAGUCAGAGGCGAUGAAGGACGUGCUAAUCUGCGAAAAGCGUCGGUAAGGUGAUAUGAACCGUUAUAACCGGCGAUGUCCGAAUGGGGAAACCCAGUGCAAUUCGUUGCACUAUCGUUAACUGAAUACAUAGGUUAACGAGGCGAACCGGGGGAACUGAAACAUCUAAGUACCCCGAGGAAAAGAAAUCAACCGAGAUUCCCCCAGUAGCGGCGAGCGAACGGGGAGCAGCCCAGAGUCUGAAUCAGCUUGUGUGUUAGUGGAACGGUCUGGAAAGUCCGACGGUACAGGGUGAUAGUCCCGUACACCAAAAUGCACAGGUUGUGAACUCGAAGAGUAGGGCGGGACACGUGGUAUCCUGUCUGAAUAUGGGGGGACCAUCCUCCAAGGCUAAAUACUCCUGACUGACCGAUAGUGAACCAGUACCGUGAGGGAAAGGCGAAAAGAACCCCGGCGAGGGGAGUGAAAAAGAACCUGAAACCGUGUACGUACAAGCAGUGGGAGCACCUUCGGGUGUGACUGCGUACCUUUUGUAUAAUGGGUCAGCGACUUAUAUUCUGUAGCAAGGUUAACCGUAUAGGGGAGCCGCAGGGAAACCGAGUCUUAACUGGGCGUUAAGUUGCAGGGUAUAGACCCGAAACCCGGUGAUCUAGCCAUGGGCAGGUUGAAGGUUGGGUAACACUAACUGGAGGACCGAACCGACUAAUGUUGAAAAAUUAGCGGAUGACUUGUGGCUGGGGGUGAAAGGCCAAUCAAACCGGGAGAUAGCUGGUUCUCCCCGAAAGCUAUUUAGGUAGCGCCUCGUGAACUCAUCUUCGGGGGUAGAGCACUGUUUCGGCUAGGGGGUCAUCCCGACUUACCAACCCGAUGCAAACUACGAAUACCGAAGAAUGUUAUCACGGGAGACACACGGCGGGUGCUAACGUCCGUCGUGAAGAGGGAAACAACCCAGACCGCCAGCUAAGGUCCCAAAGUCAUGGUUAAGUGGGAAACGAUGUGGGAAGGCACAGACAGCCAGGAUGUUGGCUUAGAAGCAGCCAUCAUUUAAAGAAAGCGUAAUAGCUCACUGGUCGAGUCGGCCUGCGCGGAAGAUGUAACGGGGCUAAACCAUGCACCGAAGCUGCGGCAGCGACACUAUGUGUUGUUGGGUAGGGGAGCGUUCUGUAAGCCUGCGAAGGUGGCCUGUGAGGGCUGCUGGAGGUAUCAGAAGUGCGAAUGCUGACAUAAGUAACGAUAAAGCGGGUGAAAAGCCCGCUCGCCGGAAGACCAAGGGUUCCUGUCCAACGUUAAUCGGGGCAGGGUGAGUCGACCCCUAAGGCGAGGCCGAAAGGCGUAGUCGAUGGGAAACAGGUUAAUAUUCCUGUACUUGGUGUUACUGCGAAGGGGGGACGGAGAAGGCUAUGUUAGCCGGGCGACGGUUGUCCCGGUUUAAGCAUGUAGGCGGAGGUUCCAGGUAAAUCCGGUACCUUUUAACGCUGAGGUGUGAUGACGAGGCACUACGGUGCUGAAGUAACAAAUGCCCUGCUUCCAGGAAAAGCCUCUAAGCAUCAGGUAACAUUAAAUCGUACCCCAAACCGACACAGGUGGUCAGGUAGAGAAUACCAAGGCGCUUGAGAGAACUCGGGUGAAGGAACUAGGCAAAAUGGUGCCGUAACUUCGGGAGAAGGCACGCUGGUGUGUAGGUGAAGUCCCUGCGGACGGAGCUGAGACCAGUCGAAGAUACCAGCUGGCUGCAACUGUUUAUUAAAAACACAGCACUGUGCAAACACGAAAGUGGACGUAUACGGUGUGACGCCUGCCCGGUGCCGGAAGGUUAAUUGAUGGGGUUAUCCGUAAGGAGAAGCUCUUGAUCGAAGCCCCGGUAAACGGCGGCCGUAACUAUAACGGUCCUAAGGUAGCGAAAUUCCUUGUCGGGUAAGUUCCGACCUGCACGAAUGGCGUAAUGAUGGCCAGGCUGUCUCCACCCGAGACUCAGUGAAAUUGAACUCGCUGUGAAGAUGCAGUGUACCCGCGGCAAGACGGAAAGACCCCGUGAACCUUUACUAUAGCUUGACACUGAACAUUGAGCCUUGAUGUGUAGGAUAGGUGGGAGGCUUUGAAGCGUGGACGCCAGUCUGCGUGGAGCCAACCUUGAAAUACCACCCUUUAAUGUUUGAUGUUCUAACGUUGGCCCGUAAUCCGGGUUGCGGACAGUGUCUGGUGGGUAGUUUGACUGGGGCGGUCUCCUCCCAAAGAGUAACGGAGGAGCACGAAGGUUAGCUAAUCCUGGUCGGACAUCAGGAGGUUAGUGCAAUGGCAUAAGCUAGCUUGACUGCGAGCGUGACGGCGCGAGCAGGUGCGAAAGCAGGUCAUAGUGAUCCGGUGGUUCUGAAUGGAAGGGCCAUCGCUCAACGGAUAAAAGGUACUCCGGGGAUAACAGGCUGAUACCGCCCAAGAGUUCAUAUCGACGGCGGUGUUUGGCACCUCGAUGUCGGCUCAUCACAUCCUGGGGCUGAAGUAGGUCCCAAGGGUAUGGCUGUUCGCCAUUUAAAGUGGUACGCGAGCUGGGUUUAGAACGUCGUGAGACAGUUCGGUCCCUAUCUGCCGUGGGCGCUGGAGAAUUGAGGGGGGCUGCUCCUAGUACGAGAGGACCGGAGUGGACGCAUCACUGGUGUUCGGGUUGUCAUGCCAAUGGCACUGCCCGGUAGCUAAAUGCGGAAGAGAUAAGUGCUGAAAGCAUCUAAGCACGAAACUUGCCCCGAGAUGAGUUCUCCCUGAGACUUUAAGUCUCCUGAAGGAACGUUGAAGACGACGACGUUGAUAGGCCGGGUGUGUAAGCGCAGCGAUGCGUUGAGCUAACCGGUACUAAUGAACCGUGAGGCUUAACCUU